GAUGAACGCUGGCGGCGUGCCUAAUACAUGCAAGUCGAGCGAACAGACGAGGAGCUUGCUCCUCUGACGUUAGCGGCGGACGGGUGAGUAACACGUGGAUAACCUACCUAUAAGACUGGGAUAACUUCGGGAAACCGGAGCUAAUACCGGAUAAUAUAUUGAACCGCAUGGUUCAAUAGUGAAAGACGGUUUUGCUGUCACUUAUAGAUGGAUCCGCGCCGCAUUAGCUAGUUGGUAAGGUAACGGCUUACCAAGGCAACGAUGAGUAGCCGACCUGAGAGGGUGAUCGGCCACACUGGAACUGAGACACGGUCCAGACUCCUACGGGGGGCAGCAGUAGGGAAUCUUCCGCAAUGGGCGAAAGCCUGACGGAGCAACGCCGCGUGAGUGAUGAAGGUCUUCGGAUCGUAAAACUCUGUUAUUAGGGAAGAACAAAUGUGUAAGUAACUAUGCACGUCUUGACGGUACCUAAUCAGAAAGCCACGGCUAACUACGUG
rnacentral:rRNA from 1 species